AAGCUCAAGGAAUUUUCGUCCUUGUUCAAUAGCUCUUUUAGAAUUGCUAUUUUGCAAAGCGAACAAUCAGAAAAGAAGGAAUUAAAAUAUCUUCUUUCAUCUUUGGCGAAAAAAUCGAGUGCAUGUGUUCAGUUGUGGUAUUUGUAACGAGGAAAUCGAGGUAAAUCAAGAUAAAGACAUAUGGACUUGUUUGCAGAGUCAUGAGCAUUUUGAGCAGCUCUAUUGUCAGCUUUUAAAUAAUACCCUUCAACUAAUUCCGUUAUCUAACAAAGAAACACCAUCUUUAUCUGCGAGAAGCACGAAUACAAUGGAAGCAAUUACGGGAGUCUCAGAAGCUCAACCUGAAACCCUUCCGUACAGUGGAACUGAUCAGCAUGGAAUAGACUCAUAAAAACAUUGGCAACUCUGAAAUCAGUCACGAAAGUGCUGGAAAAUCAGAUGCAGAUAGUGGUAGUGACAUCGACCAGGAGGAAAAAGAUAAUUUAGAUCCAGAUGACGUAAACAAGUUCCGUUUUAGUUUCCCAGUCUCUUAUAAUAAAAUAGUAGAAAGUGCCCUUUAUCCAUGCAGGAUUGCAAAUCGUAUACGGAAAUAUGACCAAGUAAAAUACUUUUCCAUUAUGAAAAUUAGUUCUACGAAAGCUGUUUGUUUAGUAUGCAAUUGUGAAAUCAAUGAUGUAAGAAUUAGAAACCAUUUAUUGAUGAGCCAUGUGAUGGGUAGUAAACAUUUAAAGUCAUCUAUGCAACCUCAAGUUUUGCAAUUGGUCGAAUUCUAUUAUGAUUUCUGGCUGAAUAAAGACCCUUGCAUUCAAGCACAUCAAGUGUAUCUUAGACCAAUCGAUUUGACAUACAUGCAGUGCAGCCUGUGUGAUUGUGCGCUUUGUAUUGAUGAUAUAGUCGGGCAUAUACAACUCAAUCCGCACAAAAAAAAUGUUAUUCACAAUUUUGAAUCGAGAGUGAAUUCGAAUUAUCUCAUUGAUUUACAAGUUGAGGCUUAUGGAAUUCGAAGAGAAUCAGUUGAGGGAAAGAAAGAUGUAGAAAGUUCUCCAGA
rnacentral:lncRNA from 1 species